ACAGAAAAUACAGCCCAGAGCCUGUGAUUGGGCAGCAGAGGGAAAGGCGUGGCUGGAAGUUUUAGAGAAGGAGAGAGAGGAAGGAAAGAAAACACGACACAGAGGAGAAGGAACAUGGAGAGAGAAGAAGAUGGAGGAAGAGGAGGUGGAAGAUGGAGCAGCCCCACGUGGCCUGGAGGAGCAGCAAGAAGCAAGGGAUCUCAUAGCUGAAGACCUCUCUAACUUAAAAGAGUGGUACACGUCUCUGGGCAGCAUGCCAAGGUCAUAUUUCAAAGACCAAGUUAAUUUUCAUGGGAGCCGUGGGACCCAGCAGAAAAGGUGAUCAAGACGAUGUUUAUCUUCUUCCACUGGUGCUGAUGCUGAGCCAGGUCUGAUGGCAGGUGGUGGAGACUAUCCAACUAUGUACAAAUGUCUAGGAUCCCGCAAGCCAUCCAUAACCCUCAAGCCCAUUUGCAAAUGAUAUUGGAGGCAUUCACUUCUCACAUGCCCUGGGAAUGGCGGGAGGGCUGGAUAGCCGGUAUUCUGGCCUUGGCAAUCCUAGCAUACCCACUAAGCCCCAUGUCAUGUCUAGAUCCACUACGUGGAACCUUUGCCACGCCCAGUUGCACGCAUGUGCCCUUGACCCCCAAAAGGAAUCUAAGUCGGAUCCAUGCGGUUUCAGUAGCCCUAGUCGUGGAAAAAGGGCCACUGUUCCUUACUGGGCAAAUGGAUCCCCCGAAAAAGGGGGAAGAAGGAAGCUGCCACAUGAAGAUCGGAGCGGCACACCCCUCAAGUUCAGACAUUAUGAGUAUGGGGGGGAACCCCCUACAUGUGUUCAAAAGCAUCAAAGAAAGAUGCUGUUUCAGGUUCGAAGUUAAAACUCCCCUCUGUCUCAGAGGCUCCAUCAUGGUUUUCUUGGGGCAAGCUUUGAGAUGGUAAUUUAUUCCAGAUGGGAUCUUUUCCAUUUGAGUGCUGUUGCCCCUGAAUGGCCUUCCAGUAAUCUUUACUCCAUGCCUAGGGAGCAGAUUCUAGCUUGACCUCCCUGUCAGAGGUGAGGGAACCUCUGUCCCCUAUUCAAUGUCCCACCUGCUGCCUUGACACCUGGGGCCCGGCACUUUUGAUAGCAGCUGUGAGUAAGAGAUGUGCCCAGAACUGGAGGCUGAGUUUAGUGUUUGGGUUAUUGUCAGUGUGACUCCCACAUCUGUUGUCAUAGCAUAGGUAGCAUGGCUGCCCUCCUUCACUGGAAAGCAUCGCGGAUUGGACAGUGCUCAUCGGUGAAACGGGGAAACGAUUGUCCAAUGGAGGUGGUCCGUUGCUUCUAACAAUUUUGCCAAAGGAAUGGAGUUUAUUCCAGACCGUCUUGAAACACUAUCAAUAGUGUGGCCUUGCUCCUUUGGUGUUGGCUCAGUAGCAGCUCGGGCAUUGCACCGUGCUCCACAGAUGUUCUGUGUGUGAGGUGACUGGCCUUGAGGGCCAGGCCAAGCACUGCUUCCCAGUGAUUGCUCAUGAGUGCAAUGGCUUGCUGCUUCCUUCCUGAGGCCAAUGCUUUCUCUUUGUUACUCUCAUCUCUGGUAACUUUUGAGAGAAACCAGGAAGUAACAGGCUUAAUGGCGGCAGCUCCAAAAGACAUAUAACGAGCUCCCGUAGAGUUGACAGAGCUGGGGAAGAUGAUAGGAUUCAAGCCACAGCCCCCUAGGGACGGUUCCCAGGGUCAGGACGGGAAGCUGCCAACUGCCCCUCAUGUAGGCAUGUUGCUCAAGGCGCCAGAAGUUCUUACAGGAAAGGAGAAUCUGGGUGCCCUUGAAAUCAGAGCCACCCCAGCCCACCUGGCUGCAGGGAGCACCAGGAACCUCUGCAGGAAGUGGGGUCUGGAGGCCCGAGGUGGUCUAGCCGAGCUCCUGUGUGUGGAGGGGGUACUUGCUCUCCUGCGGUCACACCACACUCCGAUCAGCUCCUCAAAGCCGGCCUUUAGGAAGGCCUCCACAGAUAAACUCCGUGCAAGGACAGAUCUUCCAUCUUGGGCCUCCUCCAAGGCUUGGUGCUUUCCCCCAUGGCUCGGGGCCGCCUUCACUUCUUGGCCACUAGCCAAGGACUCUGGCCCUUGAGAAGGCAUAGAGAAGGGAAUAUUUGAGAAGGAGACUUGCUGAUCAUUGGUAUUUUUUUUUUAAUGGCCCAGAGAUCUCCCCGGCCCAGCUCCCACGUAGCUCCUCACAGCCUGGAAUGGGCCCUCUCUGCCUCUCUCUUCGACUGCAACCACAUGUGCAUUCUGUGACUUAGAACCAAGAGGCAUUAAGCACAUUUGAGGUUUCUGCUAUAGAAAUAAACCACAGUGGGGGUGGGGUGGGGGCGGAGUCU